rnacentral:rRNA from 1 species
UACGUAGGGGGCAAGCGUUGUCCGGAUUUACUGGGCGUAAAGAGCGUGUAGGCGGCCAAGCAGGUCCGUUGUGAAAACUGGAGGCUUAACCUCCAGACGUCGACGGAAACCGCGCGGCUAGAGUCCGAAAGAGGAGAGUGGAAUUCCUGGUGUAGCGGUGAAAUGCGCAGAUAUCAGGAAGAACACCAAUGGCGAAGGCAGCUCUCUGGGACGGUACUGACGCUGAGACGCGAAAGCGUGGGGAGCGAACAGG